rnacentral:rRNA from 1 species
CACAAGCGGUGGAGCAUGUGGUUAAUUCGACGCAACGCGAAGAACUUACCUGGGCUUGACAUCCCGAUCGCACCUUAUGGAAACAUAGGGGUCGAGUUCGGCUGGAUCGGUGACAGGUGCUGCAUGGCUGUCGUCAGCUCGUGUCGUGAGAUGUUGGGUUAAGUCCCGCAACGAGCGCAACCCUUGUCCUUAGUUGCCAGCAUUCAGUUGGGCACUCUAAGGAGACUGCCGGUGUCAAACCGGAGGAAGGUGGGGAUGACGUCAAGUCCUCAUGGCCCUUAUGUCCAGGGCUACACACGUGCUACAAUGGCCGGUACAAAGGGGCGCAAGACCGCGAGGUGGAGCAAAUCCCAAAAAACCGGUCUCAGUUCGGAUUGGAGUCUGCAACUCGACUCCAUGAAGUUGGAAUCGCUAGUAAUCGCGUAUCAGCAUGACGCGGUGAAUACGUUCCCGGGCCUU